rnacentral:lncRNA from 1 species
AGACCGGCUGCAGCCGCGGCAGAGGAUCUUCAUGGCGGCCGCCUGAGAGGCGGAGGGCGGGCCCGGAGAAAACAGGGAAUGGGGAUAUUGAGCCCGAUCUGCUAGCAGAGGACUCACCGCUGCCUUGCUUUCCCACCCUGACCCACCAACCCCUCACCCGGAACCCGGGCUUGCCUUCUUUACGGGACGACCGGGCCGCACAGGCCGGAAUUAACCGGAGAAGAGGCUGGGCCGCCGCAGAGCCGGGAGGGGUGGUGGGAAGCCAGAGCUGACGAAGUUGGAAAGGACGUGUAGGCGACUAGGCCUGCGCCUCUUGGGGACACCUGAGGACGCCCGCUGGGCAGCUGGCUGAGGAGGGGCCGCCGGGAGGGCGCUCGAUAGCAGGCGUGUCAUUGGGACACUUAAGGCUGCUCUAGCUGUGGCCAGCUUAGAAACAAAGGUCCCGGCAGCGAGGAGAGCGCCCGCCCCAGGAUUUCCUCGAAGAGUGUGUCGUUCUCCCUCCCGGAGGAGCGCGGCCUUCCGUUCCCCGGAGGGCUCUGGAAAGGCCCUUUAACCGGGGUGCCGUCGGGCUCCAUCCUGCUGUGAAAGCGGGAGGAACUACGUUCCCCAGGCUUGAAAAUAAGCGUCCUGCUGGGUUGGCUGCGGCACUGCCAAAGCUAACCCGGCGGAGGUCCUUUGAUCCCGGGGCCACCGCCCGCUCCCACCACCACCUCGGCCUCGGGGAGAACCUGAGCAGGGCUCUCCCACUGAGGGCGUCCUCCCGACUGGGCAUGCACGUGAGGCCGGGGCUGGCUUCGGUCCUCUUCCCUGGGGUAGGAGGCUGGAGGAAACCGAUUUCUCUGCACCCUAAUCUUGCCCUGGCUCCUCCUGAGUGGGGUGAGGAAUCUGGUCGCUCUCCAAGGCUACAGCGACCGGAGUCCUUCAGGGGACACUGUGCAGUCAGCAGUACAACCUGUUGGAGAAAGAUGGCUGAAUCGAGGUGUCUUUCCCCCUGUCUCAAAAAAAAUAAAAAUAAAAAAAAAGAAUCCGGGAGGGGUACACAAUUCAACCCAUAAUACACCAAUGCAGACCCCACCCUCAGGGCCCCUCACUGCCCCCACAUCGGCCAUGUUACACAUUAAUUUUAUUACUCCUCCAGAAGACCAGCCUGGGCCUUUGCAUUGCUGCUCAUCAUUUUUUGUUCAUCUCUCCUUAACACUCAUUAAUCUCUUCCAGAUUGUCAAGUUAACUUGCUUUAUUUUUCCUACUUCCUUAUCUAAUUACAUAUUAUAAUAAUUUCAUGGAGUAUCUUCUAUCAUUUAUUUGGAUGUAAGCGUUGAAAUUAGCAAAAGCAGCUGAAGUGGCUUUCUCAUUUCCCAUCUGACACUAGUUAAAGUGCCUUUUUUGUUCUACUUCAAUCUACAAGCCAUCUCCUUAGCCUUCCUGCCAAUUAAAACCAAAGGAUUGUUCAGGCUUAGUGCAUAUACUGAGUCCUAAUGCACCGGUGUUGUAACCAUAGUGAGAACCAAUACUGAUUGUUAUAUGCAGAAGUGAAUUACUUCCAGACUGGUAUAUUGCCUACUCCUUGCACACACAAUGCCACCUCCCUUCCCCUCUCCUUUCUUGUUCUAUUAUAAGAAUAUAAUGUUUCUGUCUCAUAUCUUUACUUUCUUCCUUUAUGUCUUUAUUCAAAAGUUACCUGCAUGAUGUCUUCCCUAGUUAUCUUAUCUAAAAUUUCAACACUCCUUCCCAUUUCAUAUCCCCACUUCUAUACUUUAUUUUUUUUCCUUAGCAGUUAUCAAUAAGAUAAUAUAUAUUUUGCUUUUGGACUGUCUCCCACAUUUAAAUGUAAGUUCUCCUAGGGAAAUAAUUUUUGUCUGCUGUAUUUACCAUUAUAACCCCCGUGCCUAAAUAGUGCUAGCACAUAGCAAGUGCUUAAUAAAAAUUUGCUAGGUAUGGUGGCUCACACCUAUAAUUCCAGCACUUAGGGAGGCCGAGGAGGGAGGAUCACUUGAGGUCAGGAUUCUGAGAGCAGCCAGUACAAGAUAGCAACACCUUAUAUCUACAUCUCUUGACAUCCCUGAUGUCAAGAGACUCUUCCAAAAUCGAUCUACUAAUACCCAUACUGUAUGUUAGGCAAUGGUCAGGAUUUUAUCAGGCCUGCUACAAAACAAAGGAAGUUCUGGCCCAGUGCAAAGGUUUUCAACUUCAAUCUAGGAAAUGUCAUAUUUAUAAAGUAUCACGGAUUUAUUUGAAUAACAAUUUCUGUUGAAAAUUGGUUUAUGAUUACUAAAUAGCUGUUAUGGGGGAGUAUCAAGGAAAAUGUCUUUUAGAAAAGAUCAGAAGCAGUACAUUUUGGCAAGACUUAUAACUUACCUCAUUGAUGCAUGUAAGCUUAAAGAGGUUAGAAGGUGAUUUAAAUUCUUUAGAGGAAAUCUAUUGGGAGGGGCAACACAACAAGAAGUGGAAAGAGAGGAGAGAAUGUUCUUUAAAAGUAUAAUAGGGAACUGAUUGCCUCCUGUUCACCAUGAUGUUCUGAAUAUCAUUUAAGGGAAUUUCACUGGAGUAGUUAAUUGAACUUUGCGGUGAUAGAAAAUGAUUUGGCAGUGAACAGCCUUCUGCCUAAACUGUUUAUUUUUCAGAGACUUCAUUGGUGAGAUCAAGUUAGUCCAGGUUGAACAACUGAAAUGUCUUAACCUCAAUGUAACCUCUUUCUCCCCCGCUCUCCAUUUAUUUAAUAUUUUAGCCAUUUUCUAAAUGUUGUAAAAUCUAAAUUAUUUUCAUAGGCUGUCACCUCAAACUAAUGUCUACAUGUUUCAAGCAACAACAGACCUAGAUUACAUACAGUUUUUAGAUGGGAUAUACCACUUUAAAAUCAGUCAUGUAGUUAUUGAACAUUUCUUCUGAGCUCAGCACUGUGCUAGAUGCUAUAAAAGAACAGCUAUAAGGGCCAGGCGCGGUGGCUCAUGCCUGUAAUCCCAGCACUUUGGGAGGCCGAAGCGGGUGGAUUACGAGGUCAGGAGAUCGAGACCAUCCUGGCUAACAUGGUGAAACCCCGUCUCUACUAAAAAUACAAAAAUAAACCAGGCAUGGUGGCGGGCACCUGUAGUCCCAGCUACUCGGGAGGCUGAGGCAGGAGAAUGGCGUGAACCCGGGAGGCAGAGCUUGCAGUGAGCCGAGAUCGUGCCAGUGCAUUCCAGCCUGGGCGACAGAGCAAGACUUCGUCUCAAAAAAAAAAAAAAAAAAAAAAAGAAAUAGCUAUAAGUACAUAUCAUGCAAAACAAGAGAGUAAGAACAAUCUCUCUUAAAAGUCUCUUCCUACUAGUUAAAGAUAGCUGUAUAAGGAGAACAUACCUGAAGAAUGGAUAGAAUUUUUCCGAGAAAGGAUGGGAAGAAAAGAAUUUACUCCAAGACAGGGAAACAGCAUGUGGUAAGACACCUAUAGGCCAUAUUCAUAAGACCAUUAAAAAGGGUACAUAUUGGCCGGGUGCGGUUGCUCACACCUGUAAUCCCAGCACUUUGGGAGGCCGAGGCAGGCGGAUCACUUGAAGUCAGGAGUUCAAGACC